AUGAUUGUGUUGUCUAUGUUUAAUUAUGGUUAUGUACAUUAAAAACAAAAUUAAUUAGUUAAAAACAUACAAUGUGAUACUUCGUUAAUGCAGAAGUAGCAGUAAUUGAUAAAACAAGGUAUAGGAAGAUGUAGUUGUUCCAAAGAAAGAGUAUUUUCAACCCAAGGAAAAUUCGUCGUAACCUAACUUAUUGUGCCCCCUUCAGAAAGAACACAACCAUUUAAGCUGUUUUGGUUGUGAUUAAGCAGGUACCAAGAACAAAACUUCAUCAGUCAUAUUUAUGAAGAACAGAAUACAUUUUUUUAAACAUAUUUACUCAGAACAGAACGUGACAUUAUAUUUUUAUUACAAUGAUGUAUAGAUCCAAAAUCAACUUUGAAAUAUUUCAUAUCAGUGUCAAGAUCCUCUAGGAUCCUCUUAAUUUAAACCAAAGCCAAGUGAGCAAACUUAAAUUGUCGCUAAAGCUGUCUCGUUUGGUUUUGCUACCCUUUCACUGCACUGUUUGCAAAUAAAACAUGCUGUUACUUAAAACCACUACAACAUUCAGUCUAAUAUUUUAAGGAUAAAUAAAUGCUCUUAAUACCCACACAGCUUCAGCUCUUGCUGUCAUUAUCCUUUCCUUUUAAAAACUAUAUUUUAACAUUUGUCUUAUGAUUCUAUAAGUAUAAAUAAAACAAACACAAUUAACCAAUAUUUUAUUUAUUGCAAUAUCAAUAACGUUACUUAUAUAAUAAGACCUAAGCUUCUAGAAAAACAAGUACUUUAUAAUGUGGCACUUGACCUACCUCACAUGAAAUAGACAAUAUUACAUCAGUCUCACUGGUGCUCGUUUCUUCUGCUAAGGGGUUCUCCCAAUUUUUAAACGAGACCCCUCAAUUCAGAAACAAAUACAACAACUUUUUAGUAUCCCAGUCACUUAAUAUACCGACAGAAAAUGACGAUUUUUGCACAUAAAUGAAAAAGAAUAUUAUAAGAGAAGAAUAAUUCCAUUUUCCGCAUAGAUAUAAACUGGCUGGAGCACUUUAAAAUGCAGUUAUCGUAUUAAUAUUACUGAAAAAUGCCAAGAAAACGAAAACAAUUACAAAAAAAAAUAUUAAAAAGUCACAUUUCCAUCAUUACUCCAUAAAUAAGGCAAUUAGUAACUUAAUACCGAUUACAAAAAUAAAUAAGUACUUAAUUUCCUAAACGCUCAGAUUAUAGUACAUUUCAUAAAUGCCAAUUAAGUAAAAUAUUUGUGAUGUUUUAAAAAUUAAAUUUGUGAUGUAAUUAUCUAUUUAACCGGAAUUUGUUUUAAUAUUUGAAAAACUUGGGAAAUUUACUUUAAUUAAUUUUUGUGAAUUAUAAUUAAUUUAUUAUGGAACUCAACUGACUCCAUCAAUGUAUUAUAUCUUAAACUUUAUGGGGAACUCCAUGACGAUAAUAUACAAAGAAAAAUGUUAGAAAAAAUAAAAUAGAAAAUUUAAACAAACUUAAAAGAAAUCUGUUACCAACAAUAUAGUAUGUAUAAAAUAACUUUUUGUUUGUUAAAAUCGUACAGGAAGGGUGUGAAAUAAUUAUCGAAUAACAUAAGGGCACCAGCUUUUUCUUAUGACUUCGAAAUUAAACAACGGAAAACUCGCUUUGAAAUUAAUGAUGGUAUUAACAAUAUUGCAUCUAGGAAAAUUCCAUGUUUUACAUUCGUUAUAAAAAUGAAAAAUAAUAAAUCAAGAGCUUAAUAUCCUUUCCUUAUUGAAUAAAUAAGAGAGUACAGUACAGUACAGUAUGCCAAAUUAUUAUAGUUUUUAGAUACAAAAGUAAUAAUUUCAAGCAAAAGAUAUUCAAACUUUACUGUACAGAAUAUAUAAAUGUAUAACGAUAAAAUAAUAAUAGUUGGAAAGUUAUUAUAUUUACAACUUAACUGUAGUUGAUAUUCAAAAAAAUUAGGUUUGUUACAGAAAUAUUUUUAAGGCAGCUAGUAACUGUAAUGGUACAAUAAUUUCAGCAACAUUAGGUACAUAAUAUAUUUAAAAAUGUAUGAAGUAUUAAACAAAUUAAAAAUUCACUUUUUUUUGUUGAAUUUGUCAAAUAUAGCUCAAAAGGUAAAUAAAAACUAUAUAAUAGAACUUGUUUACUUUUACGUUUCUAAAUUAUUGUUUCUCUAAUAACCAUUACAUAAAGUCGCCCUUUUACCUUUUGCUGCCUUAAAAAACCAUAAAAGAAAAAGUAAAAAUAAAGACCAACUGCAACAAAUGUAAAACAUGGACUUCAUAGCCAACAAAAAAGUGUGUGUCCUUACACAAUGUUUGAAGUGAAUACUUCCUGUACCAAAUAGUUGCACUAUUCGAUGCACGACAGGCUCGAUAAUUCUACGCGUCUACCACACGUGGAAAAUAAUUUGACACGCGCUUAUCUACUGUCACAUAAGAAGUAUUCAUUUCAAAAAUAAAAAAAUAGUAAUUAUAAUAAUCAUUACCGUUCAUACAUUACAUACUCGAGUUAGUUCCUUAUUGGUUUUGCAUACAUCAGUCAUCAACAUUCGUGGCAGUAGAUGCAGUAGUAGAAGGAUGCCACCAACCCACCGACCA